rnacentral:rRNA from 1 species
UACGGGGGGGCAAGCGUUGUCCGGAUUUAUUGGGCGUAAAGAGCGUGUAGGCGGCCAUGUAGGUCCGUUGUGAAAACUCGAGGCUCAACCUCGAGACGCCGAUGGAAACCAUGUGGCUAGAGUCCGGAAGAGGAGAGUGGAAUUCCUGGUGUAGCGGUGAAAUGCGCAGAUAUCAGGAAGAACACCCGUGGCUAAGGCGGCUCUCUAGUACGGUACUGACGCUGAGACGCGAAAGCGUGGGGAGCAAACAGG